rnacentral:tRNA from 1 species
AUUUAUAUAGUAUAAAAAUUAUAAUUGAUUUCCAAUCAAAAGAUCUAAAAAAAUUAGUAUAAAUA